CCUACGGGGGGCUGCAGUCGAGAAUCUUCGGCAAUGGGGGAAACCCUGACCGAGCGACGCCGCGUGCGGGAUGAAGGCCCUCGGGUUGUAAACCGCUGUCGUAAGGGAACAAAUCUAUGAGGGUACUCUCUCAUAGUUGAGUGAUCUUAGGAGGAAGGACGGGCUAAGUUCGUGCCAGCAGCCGCGGUAAGACGAACCGUCCGAACGUUAUUCGGUAUCACUGGGCUUAAAGAGUUCGUAGGCGGCCCGACAGGUGAGGUGUGAAAUCCCUCGGCUCAACCGAGGAAUUGCGCUUCAAACCGUCAGGCUUGAGGGAGAUAGAGGUGAGCGGAACAGAUGGUGGAGCGGUGAAAUGCGUUGAUAUCAUCUGGAACACCGGUGGCGAAAGCGGCUCACUGGAUCUUUUCUGACGCUGAGGAACGAAAGCUAGGGUAGCGAACGGGCUUAGAUACCCUGGUAGUC
rnacentral:rRNA from 2 species